rnacentral:rRNA from 1 species
CUGCUGCCUCCCGUAGGAGUCUGGGCCGUGUCUCAGUCCCAAUGUGGCCGGUCACUCUCUCAAGCCGGCUACUGAUCGUUGCUUUGGUAGGCCGUUACCCUGCCAACUGGCUAAUCAGACGCGGGGCCAUCGUAUGCCGAUAAAUCUUUUCACACCAUGCCAUGCAGCAUUGUGUGCUUAUGCGGUAUUAGCAGUCAUUUCUGACUGUUGUCCCCCUGCAUACGGCAGGUU